UUGUGAUCCAUGAUGAAAUCAGAGUCCAGAAUGAUCUCAAGUCCAGAUAAUAUGCCGAGACAAAGAAGGUGAAAUACCGCAGUGAAGAGAAGCCCUGCCUAAGUUCGAAAUGGAGCAGCAGAUGGUCAAGGUGGAGAUGUGCUGCCUGACAAUGGCUCACAUACCAGACUGGACUUCUUGGCUCUAAAGGGACCCCCACAGCCUUGGUUAGUAAUCAAAUAAGGCAAAUGAUAGACUUCGGCUGUACCAAAGAGGAGAAAGUGUUUGCAGAAAAAGGGUGCUGGUCCUAUUCCACCCACCAAUACGGAUCCAGUUCCACAGUUUGCAGGGACACUUUAAAAGGAGUGUUGGCAAGGUGAGGUGACCAGGAGGAUGAGAAGCAAAACACUCAGUGUGACCAAGGACAGUCAGAGGAAGGAGAGUUGGUCAGGCUGGAGAUGACACAAGUUUGCAAACAACAACAGGGCUGACAUGGGCAUGGGAGCUGAUUUCUCCGGAGCCGAUCUCAGAAGGGAAAAGGCAGGACUGGGAGAGGCACCUGGAGAGAGGUAGGGAGGGAGAGGUCCAUAAGGGAACUGAUGGAGACUGGAGAGGGCUUCCUGAGAGAUAGUGAGCUCCCUGUCAUGAGAAGUGAGCAAGCAGAGUCUGUCAAACCUUGUGUGUUGGAGGGAGUGUCAAAUGUCCUCUCUGAGGCAGGGAGCAGGGUGGGAAGGUUGAAUCAUAACCAACAGCCUGUGGAGGGAGUAUGGAGCACCGCUGGGAGGGGUUCAGGCACUGUGAAAAGCAGGCAAGAGCCUCUUAUGGUGGGAUGGUGAACCCUGCCCCAACACUGAGCACCUGUGAGCCAAGGGCCAGGCGGGCCCUGGAAAGGCACAGGCUCUCACCUCUCACGUAUCUGUCUCCAGCUUCCUUUGGUUGUAUGGGAAGAUCUCUGAAUUGGGCCUAGAGUCUGAGCAAGUGGGGAAAGGGUGCCUGGGAACUGGAGACAGACAGACAAUUUCUCUGUCUCCUGCCAUGUGGCCUGGGAGAAUGGGAGGACAGGGAGGAGGGGCUCAGGGUGAGGCUCGGGGCUGGGGGUAGGGCAGGGAAGACAGUCAGGGAUGUUGUGAGGUUGAAAGAGGGGAAAGUGUUUUUUCUCUGGAUUCGCCAUUGUCCUUACAGUAGCAUUUUCAAAGCUGAAGUCUUGGGGGUGGAACUGAAGCUCCUGGAGGAUAGAAGUGACUGAGGAGGCAGCUGUGCUACCCUGGACACGGGGUCUUCUGGGCAGCUGGGCUUGGUGAGGAAAUGGAGGUGAGCUUAUGUUGGGGCUUCUCUGAGGACCAGCCCCUGGGCUGUCAUGUGCGGUUUCCAAAAAUCCAUAAAAAUUCAUCAGAAGUCCGCAUGGUUCUGCCUGUCGCCUGCCCUCCACUCCACAUUUGCGAAACAGCCACUUGUCCCCACUCUGGGCUGGUCUCCAGAGAGAGCUUUGU
rnacentral:lncRNA from 1 species